GGCUGGUUAGCUCAGUUGGUUAGAGCAUGGUAUUGGUAACACCACGGUCAAGGGUUCAGAUCCCCUUACGAGCCA